rnacentral:tRNA from 1 species
GCCCCUAUAGCUCAGCUGGUAGAGCAACGGUCUUGUAAACCGUAGGUCGUUCGUUCAAAUCGGACUGGGGGCACCA